AUUGAACGCUGGCGGCAUGCCUAACACAUGCAAGUCGAACGGAGAUAGGGGCAACCUUAUUUCAGUGGCAGACGGGUGAGGAAUGCGUCGGAAUCUGCCUUAUGGUGGGGGAUAACACAGGGAAACUUGUGCUAAUACCGCAUAAUGUACGAGAGACCAAAGCAGGGGACCGCAAGGCCUUGCGCGAUAGGAUGAGCCGACGCCCGAUUAGCUUGUUGGUAGGGUAAUGGCCUACCAGGGCGACGAUCGGUAGCUGGUCUGAGAGGAUGAUCAGCCACACUGGGACUGAGACACGGCCCAGACUCCUACGGGAGGCAGCAGUGGGGAAUAUUGGACAAUGGGCGCAAGCCUGAUCCAGCAAUGCCGCGUGUGUGAAGAAGGCCUGCGGGUUGUAAAGCUACUUUUGUUCGGGAAGAAUCAUGUCGUUAAUACCCGAUGUGGAUGACGGUACCAAAGAUAAGCACCGG
rnacentral:rRNA from 1 species